AGUCAGUACUUCUAGGGAUCUUGUUAAAAGGCAGAUUCUGAUUCAGCAGGUCUGAGAUGGGGCCUAAGAUUCUGCAUUUCUCACAAGCUCCCAGGGAAACCCAAU
rnacentral:pre_miRNA from 1 species